AGGGAGACACAAUCCAAUACACAAAUCAUCUAUGGAUAGCCCUGCCAAGCCUCACCCGGGGUGAGGAGUACGAAAAAAUCUAGGAGCCCCUAUCCUACAACCCUGAUACUAGACCUCCAUACUUUCCUAUCAAGAGCCAUGUCCUCGGGAACUCGCAUUCUAGCCAUAUCAUGCCUAAUCACCUCUCCCAAUACCUCUUAGGCCUCCCUCUGCCUCGUCGUACGCCGACCAUCGCCAACCGCUCACAAC
rnacentral:lncRNA from 1 species